UAGAAUGCAUGCAAUUGUUUAUUGAGGUGUGUGUGAAUGAUCUGUAUAAUCAUUUAUGUAAUUGGAUGUUUAUUUGGGCCUAUUCUAACAACACCCCUUAAGACCUUAUUCUAACACCACCGGCCUUAUUCUGCUAACACGUUAGUACAGGAAAACCACCUAACCGACCACCCACCCAUCGAUAAGCGAACUACAUCUAUCAUAAAAGAAAACUCCCCCACCUAGCCGCCUUCUUCCUCCCACUCUGCCCCCACGACCCCCACCUUCCUCCCAAAGUCCCAAUCCACCCCGACCUCCACUGCCUUCUACCGCCGGCCGGGACAGCCAAGGGCCGGGCCGCCGUCCGUGGAUCUCCGCCGCCCUGCACUGCUUCUACUCCCUGCCUCGCGGAACCUUCUCCCCUCGCCCCCACCUCCCACCCCGGGCGCAUCAAGCGCCGCCGCUGACCACCAGUAGCCGCGCGCGCCGCCCAGCCACCUCCAACCCCGGGUGAGCGCCGCCGCCGAACCACCAGUAGCCGGGUCAACCACCACGCCCAGCUUGGCUUCCUCCCCUGGUCGCCCGCCCCCCCACCCGGCCGAGCAAACCACCAGAUCCAUCGGGAUCCUCAUCUACUCCUGUGCCUGCCCCGCGAUGGAUCCGCAUCCUCCGCUGCGGCUUCCCACGCCAGCGCGCCCUAGUGGUUGCCAGAUCCGGGCAUCUCCUUGUUCCCCAGGUCACUGCCCCGCCUCUUCUAACUUCUCCCAUCGCGGUGAUGACGAAGAGUCCACGCAGGGGCGUGGCUAAGGCCACCCUGCCCAUGCAACUCCAACUACAUCGACGGGAGAUUGCACCUCAUGGUGGACGACGACGAGUGCCACAACGUCCGUGUGCAGUGCACAACCGCUGCACUGCAGUCCACCUUCCCAAGUGCGCCACCGUGAGAUCCACUGCUUGGGUGUCCAAAAAAAACCAGAUCCGGCGCCACCGCGUGAGGAACGUCGUCGUGGUUUACAUCAGUGUAUCUUGGCUGCUUCACCAUAGAUGAAGGAGCCCCUGCGGCCAAAAUGUUCACCGUCGCCGUUCGUAGAUGCCUCUGUGUCCGUGUGCAGUUUGGUUAAAUAUACUCUUGUGUACCAUGCCUUAUCAAGUUUUUUUGCCUUUGUUGCAGAAGAAUAAAUCUGCUAAGGAAGUUCUGUUGGGGCAAGAAAAAUCUACAGGAGGAAAUGCUACCAAGGUAGUUGCGUUGCAGCACAACAUGGUCUUCUGAAUGUCAUGUUUAUAGAACUCAUGCUUAGAAGAUUGUCAAAUUUUUUUGAAGAAAAAGAAGUCAUGUGCUUCUGAAUAUCAUGUUUACCGCAAUCUAGCUUAGCAGAUUAGUCUGAAAAACCUUUUAAGAGACAAAAAACUAGUAAUGAGCUCCAAUCGAACUUAUGGUGAUGUUCACAGGUUCGGUGUUGUUUGACUGAACUUGAACAAUUAAUACCAGUACCACAGGAGAGCCUGUACAUUUUAAUGUAUCCCUAAUUCUAUGUGUAUGCAAUGCCGUGGGCUCCUCAACAGCGCCGGAGUGGACUGAGUGAUAGGUCCAGGUUGGCGAGGGGACCCUCUGUGCAGCUCACUGAAGUUUGUUUUGCAGCUCGCUUGCUGGUACAGUGCAUGGGCAACGCCUCCGUGCAUUUCAAGCAAUGUUCAGUGCAUUUCAUAAAAAAGUGCAGUUGGGUUGAACUUUGUGUGUGAUUGUAAUGUGGAGACAGAAAAAAGAAUUAUUUGUGUGGAUUACUCAGUUUGUAAAAAUCUUUUCUUUGUAAAAGCAGUGCGCUUGGUGAACUGAAGAAGUACAUUUUUCAAACUAUUGUAGUUCGUUGCUAAA